rnacentral:rRNA from 1 species
CGCUUCUUUUUCCACCGGAGCUUGCUCCACCGGAAAAAGAGGAGUGGCGAACGGGUGAGUAACACGUGGGUAACCUGCCCAUCAGAAGGGGAUAACACUUGGAAACAGGUGCUAAUACCGUAUAACAAUCAAAACCGCAUGGUUUUGAUUUGAAAGGCGCUUUCGGGUGUCGCUGAUGGAUGGACCCGCGGUGCAUUAGCUAGUUGGUGAGGUAACGGCUCACCAAGGCCACGAUGCAUAGCCGACCUGAGAGGGUGAUCGGCCACAUUGGGACUGAGACACGGCCCAAACUCCUACGGGAGGCAGCAGUAGGGAAUCUUCGGCAAUGGACGAAAGUCUGACCGAGCAACGCCGCGUGAGUGAAGAAGGUUUUCGGAUCGUAAAACUCUGUUGUUAGAGAAGAACAAGGAUGAGAGUAACUGUUCAUCCCUUGACGGUAUCUAACCAGAAAGCCACGGCUAACUACGUGCCAGCAGCCGCGGUAAUACGUAGGUGGCAAGCGUUGUCCGGAUUUAUUGGGCGUAAAGCGAGCGCAGGCGGUUUCUUAAGUCUGAUGUGAAAGCCCCCGGCUCAACCGGGGAGGGUCAUUGGAAACUGGGAGACUUGAGUGCAGAAGAGGAGAGUGGAAUUCCAUGUGUAGCGGUGAAAUGCGUAGAUAUAUGGAGGAACACCAGUGGCGAAGGCGGCUCUCUGGUCUGUAACUGACGCUGAGGCUCGAAAGCG